AGUAAUGUUUUCAUUCUAGGCUUAUAAAUAUCUUAGUACAGCUACAUGAGACAGCUCACUUCAGCCACAUCUACCUACCAGGCCUAACUUAUACUAGUGCUGUUACAACAGAUGGUGUUGUUCAUAAUCAAGGUAUCCAGGUUGUAGCCGUAUUGGUCUAGAGGCAAAAGAAUUCAGAAUUCGUGGUGGAGGUGAUCUCUCCUAUUAUACCAACUAGAUUUUUGCAAAUCUCCAAAUAAUUUUUUUUUGCAAAAAUCUAGUUGGUCUAAUAAAAGAUAUCACCUCUACCAUAAGUUGUGGUUCAUGAUCAAUGCAUGGCUGCACAGAUGUUGUAGUCACCAUCAGGGCUUUGGCUUCUUUGACCAUGAGAUGUUUUCUAAGAAGAAGGAUUGCUAGGAAGAAAUAGGAUCCAGCUGAUGAAGAAAAGGAAGAGUACCUUUGUAAACAGGCUCGCUAACCUAGUGAGGAGGGCUUUAAACUAGGUUCGCUAAGAAAUGUAGGCCAAAGCCCUGAUGUAAGUGAGGAAGUGGGUGACCUGGAGGAAGUGCAAGCAGGAGUGGGCAAUAGCAGAAGCCUUCUAAUUCUUUCUAAGGAAGUAGGGGCAAUUGGCUAGUUACCUCAGGUGUCUGUACAUGAAUGCAUGGAGCCUAGGAAACAAACAGGAAGAACUGGAUGUUCUUGCACAGUCACAGAUCUAUGACAUGAUUGGAAUAACAGAGACUUGGUGGGAUGAUUGUAGUACUGUCAUGGAUGGGUACAAACUGUUCAGGAAAGACAGGCAAGGGAAAAGAGGAGGACGAGGAGUUGAACUUUAUGUAAAAUUGCUGUAUGAUUGCUCAGAACUUCAGUAUGAAACUGGAGAGUGGCUUAUUGAAAGUCUCUGUGUUAGGGUCAGAGCGGAGAGCAACAAGGGUGAUGUUGUGGUGGGUAUCUGCUAUAGACCACCACACCAGGAGGAUGAGGGUUUCUUCAAAUAGCUAAUGGAAGUUUCCUGAUCACAGGCCCUGGUUCUCAUGGGGGACUUCAGUCACCCUGACAUCUUGCGAGGGCAAUGCAGGAAGUUUUUGGAGAGUGUUAGGGACAAAUUUCUGGUGCAAGUGUUAGAGAGGCCAAGUAGGGGCCAUGAUUUUCUUGACCUGCUGCUCACCAACAGGGAAGAAUUAUAGAGGAAUUUAUUGUUGUGGAUGGCAAAUUGGGCAGCAGUGACCACAAGGUGAUCAAGUUCAGGAUCCUGAGGAAUGGAAGGAAAGAGAGGAGCAGAGUAAGGACCCAGGACUUCUGAAAAGCAGAUUGACUUCAACUCACUCAGGGAACUCCUGGGCAGGAUCCCCUGGGAGGCCAGUCUAAGGGAUAGAGAACUAGUCGUAUUUUUUAAAAAAACCUUUCUAAGGGCAUAGGAAAGAACCAUUCCAAUGCACAGAAAAACUAGCAAGUAUGGCAGUGUAACAGGGCUCCACCCUGUUACUAGGGGUGCGAGGAAGUCUGAAUAGCCUCAUGCCCCAGAACCACCUCCACACGCCCACUCCAGACCUGGGAGAAAUCAUUGAAGGCUGGGGAACCCAGUCCUGGGAGGUAGGGAGCCGACACAGGUGCAGGGAGCGUGAGAGCUAGCCACGUGGGCCCAGAGGGGGAAGAUUAAGAGGCCGAAAGCAGCCUCAAGGGUCUGUACCUAACUGGAGCAGGCUGCCUGUAGCCUGGGGUUAAGCUGCUACCAGGAGGGCUGAGAAUAGGGUUUUCUGCUGUUCAUGUGUUUGUUUCCUUGCUUGGUCAUUUGCUUUCUUUGCACAAGCCUGCAGGCUCUGCGAAGCCUCUGAAAAGAUAAGAGGCAACAAGAAGGUGAAGCCUGGAAGAACUUCUGAAAGACAGUUAAGUGAUAGUUUAUUUGUUUGGUUUUUCAGUUGUAGCCAAUUUGGUCUAGGAAUGUAGGCAGGCAAGGUUCUCCGAGUAGAUGUGAUAUCUCUUAUUAGACCAACUGAGUAGUUGGGGAAAAGUUCUUAGCAAGCUUUCGGGGGUAGUCACUGUUCUUCAGGCACAGGGAGUCUCUGAUGGUCUGAGAUGCCAAAGAAAAAGAGAAGCUAAAAGUGUGGCAGGAUGUCAGUGAAAGUGUAAAUAGGUAGGAAUUCAAAGACAAAAGGUAAAGCAGGUAAUGGAGGAGGAAGAUAGCAGGGGGAAAACAAGGCCAAAAGGAGACAUUGCAGUGAUAGAGUACAAGGUAGAAAAGAGACUGUCUGUGAAAAAGGAAAUAGUAGGAGAUCAGGCAAACAGGAGUGAGAGAAGCUAAAAGUGUGACAGGAUGUCAAUGAAAAUAAAAAUAGGUAGACAUUAGAAAAACAGAAGGUAAAGCAGGGGAAAACAAAGGGAAACACUACAAUGGUAAUAAUACAAGGUAAAAAAGAGGUUAACAAUGGAAAAGGAAAUAGUUGGAAAUCAGGAAGACAACAGGCAGAAAAGUACGGGAGGGGAGAAAAGUUGGGGAAAAAUAAGAAUGCAAGAGGUCAGGUCAGGCAGGUACCUGGUGAAUUAGAUGUCCUGCAGGUUGUAAUGUGUUAUAAAUCCAAUUUCUAUAUUGAGUCCAUGAUUUUUUUGUAUCCAGUAGGUUUAUGAAAUGAAGUUUCUAGGCUUGUCUACAAAAGGUGCUUUUAAAGUUCCCUCAGAGGAUUAGAACUGAGAGAUAGGAGAGGGAGUGAUUGACUUGUGAAAAAUGUGUCCCCACAGGUAUUUGGGUCCUCUUGUCUUUGAUAGAUUUUUGGUGUGCAUUCAUUCUGGUGCACAGUUGUUGUUUGGUUUCUCCUACAUAUAUUCCAUGAGAUACAUAAUACUUAUGGAGGUGCAGGUGUAAGAUCUAGGAAUGGCGAUGGUGUUAUUGUGGGUCCCAGGCGGCAGUGGCAGCCUCCUGUCAUCUGAUGCAGAUCUGGGGGCCUGCACCCCCAGGAGGAAUCUAGCACAGCCCUGCAGCCCUCCCGGGGUUCGGCCCCCUGGAUCUGUGCAUUGGAUGACAGGAAGCUGCUGCUGCCAGCAAGUGUCACGAGUUUUGCUUUCUGCAGUUUGAGGUGCAGUUUCCAAGAAACCUCUGCACCUAUCUCCUUGAAACUUGGCAGGUUUCAUGCCCUCAGAAGGGGCUAGCAUCUCUGCAAUUUUCAUCUGAAUCAGGCAGGAAAUGACAAAGUUUUAGGUAUUUUCAUGAUUCCCCAUUACAGCUUAUGGACAAAACGUCGAAACAGCAAAACAGUUUCAAUUAAAUUAAAUGGGACAGUGCUUCAAACUGAAACAAAAUGAUGAAAUGAAACACUGUCCCUUCAAAAUGGCAAAACAUACGUUGAAACAAAAUGAUGGUGUUUGGCACAGCCCUAGAAGUCAGUUGUGUUUUGGAUGAAACUUGGUCUUUGGGUGACAAGUAGUUUUAAGAUGGAUUCAAUGAAACCUGAUAUUUCUUCUGUUAGGGUUCCAUGGUUAGAAAUGAUAGGUCUGCCAUUUGUUGGACUUCCUUUUGUUCAUUUUGCAUUGCUGACAAGCCCAGGGUGGCCUCUGAAUGUUAUCUACUAGCCUGACUGCAGCAGAGGCAAGGGCCCUAAACAGUGGGUCCUUGGCCAAAGCCAGCAGCAAAAGUAAAAUUGGUCAGCUCUACUAGCUUGACCUAACAUACCCUGCCCAUGGCAGCUUACAGGCAGAAGAGUAGCUUGGCUUAGCAGGAAACUUCUUGCUGCAUAUGAAAUCUGUGAAAGCUUGGACAGUGUCUCUUGCACAAAAAUGCAAGACUGGAUUGUGGUAACGAAAUUGCCACAAGAAAAUCAAACUCCGCUAAUGGCUUGCAACCCAUUAGGUGUUGAGACAGUGGAGUGCUUGUGGUACCCAAUACCAGACCCAUGCCAUAAAAUAAUAAAAGUGAUGGUUGAAAUUGUUGGCAUAGAGCUGACACACACAUCAAAUGCAUUUCCAAGCUAAGAAAGCCAAAGAAGAGGCUGAGUUAGUGAAGGCAAGGAAACUGCAUCUAUGUAUCAAUUGAUCUGUGUCACUAAAGAAAACAAAAGACUCAAUUUAUAGGUUUGCUUGAAGUGUAUAAGGUGCAUUGAGUACAGGAAAGAUGUCCUGUACAUGACAUGCUCACAUUUCUCAAAACAGGCAUCCAAUGCCUAAGGUGUUACAAAUAUCUCAAUCAUUCAAUGUAUGUUUGCAGUUUUUGUAAAUAGACUGUCACUAGUACAAACUAUUGCAAAUUUGCCCCAUUGAUAAACAAAGACAGGUUGAGUAACCAAUGCCUCUAAGCAUCCUGUUUGGCCACUCAAAGCCCAUCACCUGUAAUUGACCUAUAAUUGCAGGGGCUGCAGAGAAACGCAAGUCUUCACACCUAGACAAAUCCAAAAACAGUUAUAAUAUGAUGGUCACCCUUUUUUCCUCCCUCUUCUGUUCUGACUUUAAAAUCGGCCAACUAUCAAGGAAAAAUGCUUUGAAAAUUAUACAAUUAAACAUUAUAAAGCAAGACAGAACUGCCAGCAAGGUGUAAGCAGUCCAGGGAAGAUCAAGAAGCCAUCCUGCCACCCAGUUGAUAAGCAAAGGAUCCACACUGUGAUGCUGUACAAGAACUGCUUCCUGCCUGCAUUGGGUUCGGAGGUAACUGUCUACUGAGUCUCACCAAUCACUUCCUUUGCCUUCUUGGGUUUUGGUCCCUGGGAUGUCUUUGGCACGAGCAGCAUGAUCCUUGCUGCCACAUAGAGCUCAUCUUUUUAAGAAAGGGAAGAAUGCAGAUCAGGAGAACUACAGACCAAUCAGCCUCAUCUCAGUUCCUGGAAAAAUCAUGGAGCAGGUCCUCAAGGAAUCCAUUUCUAAGCACUUGAAGAAGAAGGAAAUUAGGAACAGUCUACAUGGAUUCACCAAGGACAAGUCAUAUCUGACCAACCUAUUUGCCUCCUGUGAUGAGAUGACUGACUCUGGAUGUGGGGAGUACAGUGGAUGUAGUAUACCUUGACUUUAGCAAGGCUUUUGAUUUAGUUUUACACAGCAUUCUUGCAAGCAAACUAAAGAAGUAUGGGUUGGAUGAAUGGACUGUAAAGUGGAUAGAAAACUGGCUGGACCAUGGGCUCAAAGGCUUGAUGUCUGGGUGGCAGCCAGUGUCAAGUGGAGUGGCCCAGAGGUUGGUCCUGGGGCCAGUCCUGUUCAAUAUCUUCCAGUGACCUGGAAGAUGGGAUGGAGUACACCCUCAGCAAGUUUCCAGACGACCUGAAUCUGGAGGCAGCAGUAGAUAUACUGGAGGAUAGGGCUAAGAUUCAGAGAGAACUCAACAAAUUGGACGAUUGGACCAAAAGAAAUCUCAGGAGGUUUAAUAGGGGCAAGUGCAAAGUCCUGCACUUAGGACAGAACAAUUCCAUGCACCAGUACAGGCUGGGGACCAACUGGCUAAGCAGCAGCUCUUCAGAAAAAGACCUGUGGGUUACAGCAGGGGUGGGCAAAAUAUGGCCUACAGGCCAAAUCUGGCCUGCCAGGCCUUUCUAUCCAGCCUACGGGGCCCCUAAAAAAGUUAGAAAAUUGUUAUAUGCCUGUGCCAGCAGGACCCAGCAGCCUUGGCAGCAAGGCCCACCUGGCCCUGCCCCACCCCACCCUCAGCUCCAACUGGAAUCCUCUGCCUAGCAGAGGCUUGUGGCCUGGCAACCCUGGGGCUGUUCCCCUGCCCUCCCUGCAUCUGGAAGUGCAAACUAAGCUAAGAACAGGAAAGAGGGGAGGCCCACUGGUGAUUGCCCUGCAUUCUGUGGCCUCGGGGCCAGAAUGCAGAAUGCAGCAGGAGCUGGCUUGGCCUAGCCAGUACUGCACAGAGUCAGCCAGGAAUCAGGGGCUGGGCUGGGCUGGCUCCUGCUGCAUUCUGUAGUCCCAGCAGUGCAGCUGGGAACCACAUGGUGCUGGAGUGGUAGGCAGGCAAGCAGAGGGGUGGGGAGAAGCAGCCAUUUCCUGCCCCCCUCCUUCCCCACCUGCCAUCGCCACUUUCCCACCUUCACAUCCACUGCCGCCACUCCUGCCUGCCUGCU